AAUAAUCCCACAAUUUCUGCCCCUGGAGAUCUCUUUGGCACUGAGGCAUGGGCACAACCUACAUUUUUAUCAAAACCAACUCCUGCGCCCACCUGUUGGAACAAUGGCAGCAACAAAAAGAGAUUUGCAAGCAGAAGCAAGAGCAAUCGAAGCAGAAAAAGAAAACAAGCAGAGCAGCAAGCAAGAAACUUGAAUGUACAGCAAGAAUUGUAACUGAACAUUACC
rnacentral:lncRNA from 1 species